UACGUAGGUGGCAAGCGAUACUCGGAAUCACUAGGCGUAAAGCGCAGGUAGGCGGCUCGAUAAGUCUCUUGUGAAAGCUCCCGGCUCAACUGGGAGAGGUCAAGGGAAACUGUUGGGCUAGAGUGUGGUAGAGGAAACUGGAAUUCCCGGUGUAGCGGUGAAAUGCGUAGAUAUCUGGAGGAACACCGGUGGCGAAGGUGGCAUCCUGGACCGGCAUUGACGCUGAGUGAGCGAAAGCCAGGGGAGCAAACGGG
rnacentral:rRNA from 1 species